rnacentral:rRNA from 2 species
GUAACACGUGGGUAACCUGCCCAGAAGAAGGGGAUAACACCUGGAAACAGAUGCUAAUACCGUAUAACAACAAGAACCACAUGGUUCUUGUUUGAAAGCUGGCCUUUGUGCUAGUGCUUCUGGAUGGACCCGCGGCGUAUUAGCUAGUUGGUGAGAUAAUAGCUCACCAAGGCAAUGAUACGUAGCAGACCUGAGAGGGUAAUCUGCCACAAUGGGACUGAGACACGGCCCAUACUCCUACGGGAGGCAGCAGUAGGGAAUCUUCCACAAUGGACGAAAGUCUGAUGGAGCAACGCCGCGUGAGUGAAGAAGGGUUUCGGCUCGUAAAACUCUGUUGUUAGAGAAGAACAGCCGUGAGAGCAACUGCUCACGGUAUGACGGUAUCUAACCAGAAAGUCACGGCUAACUACGUGCCAGCAGCCGCGGUAAUACGUAGGUGGCAAACGUUGUCCGGAUUUAUUGGGCGUAAAGGGAGCGCAGGCGGUUUAUUAAGUCUGAUGUGAAAGCCUUCGGCUUAACCGGAGAAGUGCAUCGGAAACUGAUAAACUUGAGUGCAGAAAAGGAUAGUGGAACUUCAUGUGUAGCGGUGAAAUGCGUAGAUAUAUGAAGGAACACCAGUGGCGAAGGCGGCUAUCUGGUCUGUAACUGACGCUGAGGCUCGAAAGCAUGGGUAGCAAACAGGAUUAGAUACCCUGGUAGUCCAUGCCGUAAACGAUGAAUGCUAGGUGUUGGAAAGUUUCCGCCUUUCAGUGCCGCAGCUAACG